GACGAACGCUGGCGGCGUGCUUAACACAUGCAAGUCGAGCGGUAAGGCCCUUUCGGGGGUACACGAGCGGCGAACGGGUGAGUAACACGUGGGUGACCUGCCCUCAGCUCUGGGAUAAGCCUGGGAAACUGGGUCUAAUACCGGAUAUGACCCCAUGACGCAUGUCGUGGGGUGGAAAGCCUUGUGCGGCUGAGGAUGGGCCCGCGGCCUAUCAGCUUGUUGGUGGGGUGAUGGCCUACCAAGGCGACGACGGGUAGCCGGCCUGAGAGGGCGACCGGCCACACUGGGACUGAGACACGGCCCAGACUCCUACGGGAGGCAGCAGUGGGGAAUCUUGCGCAAUGGGCGAAAGCCUGACGCAGCGACGCCGCGUGAGGGAUGACGGCCUGGUCG
rnacentral:rRNA from 1 species